GGUGGCUCAAGGGUAGAGUGCUUGCCUUGCAUGCAUGAGGCCCUGGGUUCAAUUCCUCAGCACCA
rnacentral:tRNA from 1 species